UACGUAGGGUGCGAGCGUUAAUCGGAAUUACUGGGCGUAAAGCGUGCGCAGGCGGCUUUGCAAGACAGAUGUGAAAUCCCCGGGCUCAACCUGGGAACUGCAUUUGUGACUGCAAGGCUAGAGUACGGCAGAGGGGGAUGGAAUUCCGCGUGUACCAGUGAAAUGCGUAGAUAUGCGAAGGAACACCAAUGGCGAAGGCAAUCCCCUGGGCCUGUACUGACGCUCAUGCACGAAAGCGUGGGGAGCAAACAGG
rnacentral:rRNA from 1 species